rnacentral:misc_RNA from 1 species
CAUUCCCAUCAUUGGAAUGGGAGGACUUGGCAAAACAACUCUUGCUCAACUCGUCUACAAUGAUAAGAGGGUAGAGGAGUGUUUCAGCCUGUCUAGGAUGUGGGUGUCUGUCUCAGUUGACUUCGACUUGAUAAGGAUCCUUAGAGGGAUAAUGGAGUCCUAUUCCAAGAUGAGUCUCCCUUCUGAAUUAUCCGCAGACCUGGUAACGUCUCGUUUCAGAGAAUUUUUGCCUGGUAAACGUUUUUUACUUGUUCUAGAUGAUGUCUGGAAUGACAAAUACGAGCUUUGGGAGCCACUUCUGCAACUCCUUAAAUUAGGGAAGAACGGAAGUAAAGUUUUAGUAACCAGUCGCAGUCAAAGGGUUGCGGAUGUUGUUGGCACUAGACCUGCCCACCUUUUAGGGUAUUUGCCUGAAGAUAAAUGCUGGGAGCUGUUUGAAAGAAUUGCAUUCAAGAAGGUUAAUCUUUCAGAUCGUCUGCUAAUAAAAGAGUUGGAGGACAAUGGCAAGGAAAUUGUUGCCAAGUGCAAAGGUUUGCCUUUGGCGGUAAAGGCAAUGGCGGGUAUGUUGCGUGGCAACACUGAUCCAGCCAAGUGGAGAAGAAUUUCGAAAAGCAAUAUGUGGGAGUUAGAAGAUCAAAAUAUUCUACCAGCCCUUAAAUUGAGUUAUAAUCACCUGCCAUCUCAUCUGAAGCAAUGUUUUGCUUUCUGUUCUAUAUUUCCCAAGGCCUAUGCUUUCGAUAAGAAACAGUUGGUCCAACUCUGGAUGGCUCAAUCCUUCAUUCUUCCCACAGGAGAAAAUAACGCAGAGGAGACUGGAGCUGAAUAUUUUGAUUUGUUGCUCACGAGGUCUUUCUUCCAACUGCUGAACAUCGACAAGAAGGUGCUAUACAGAAUGCAUGAUCUUAUCCAUGAAUUAGCACUAUCAAUUUCAGGUUCUCAAUGUUGCCUAGUCAAGGAUAACGAAUCAGAUAUCCACCCUGGAAAUUCUCAAAAUUGGCGUCAUGUUUCCCUGCUU